AGAGUUUGAUCCUGGCUCAGGACGAACGCUGGCGGUGUGCUUCACACAUGCAAGUCGAGCGAAUGAAGAAGGUAGCUUGCUACUUUUGGAUUUAGCGGCGGACGGGUGAGUAAUAUAUAGGAAUCUGCCCUAGAGCGGGGAACAACAGACCGAAAGGUUUGCUAAUGCCCCAUAGGUACGCAGUCUUCGGAUUGUUUAUUAAAGGAGUAAUCCACUCUAAGAUGAGCCUGUAUCCGAUUAGCUAGUUGGCGGGGUAAAGGCCCACCAAGGCUACGAUCGGUAGUUGGUCUGAGAGGAUGAUCAGCCACAAUGGGACUGAGACACGGCCCAUACUCCUACGGGAGGCAGCAGUGGGGAAUUUUACACAAUGGGGGAAACCCUGAUGUAGCGACACCGCGUGAACGAAGAAGCCUUUUGGGGUGUAAAGUUCUGUCGGCUGGAACGAAAAAAAUGACGGUACCAGCAAAGGAAGCAUCGGCUAACUACGUGCCAGCAGCCGCGGUAAGACGUAGGAUGCAAGCGUUGUCCGGAUUUAUUGGGCGUAAAGAGUUCGUAGGCGGUUAUUUAAGUCUGGUGUUAAAUACUGUGGCCCAACCACAGAACUGCAUUGGAUACUGGAUGACUUGAGUGCGGUAGAGGCGAGUGGAAUUCCCAGUGUAGCGGUGAAAUGCGUAGA
rnacentral:rRNA from 1 species